rnacentral:rRNA from 1 species
UGCAGUCGAGCGAAUGGAUUAAGAGCUUGCUCUUAUGAAGUUACGGCGGACGGGUGAGUAACACGUGGGUAACCUGCCCAUAAAACUGGGAUAACUCCGGGAAACCGGGGCUAAUACCGGAUAACAUUUUGAACCGCAUGGUUCGAAAUUGAAAGGCGGCUUCGGCUGUCACUUAUGGAUGGACCCGCGUCGCAUUAGCUAGUUGGUGAGGUAACGGCUCACCAAGGCAACGAUGCGUAGCCAACCUGAGAGGGUGAUCGGCCACACUGGGACUGAAACACGGCCCAAACUCCUACGGGAGGCAGCAGUAGGGAAUCUUCCGCAAUGGACGAAAGUCUGACGGAGCAACGCCCCGUGAGUGAUGAAGGCUUUCGGGUCGUAAAACUCUUUUGUUAGGGAAAAACAAGUGCUAGUUGAAUAAGCUGGCACCUUGACGGUACCUAACCAGAAAGCCACGGCUAACUACGUGCCACCAGCCGCGGUAAUACGUAGGUGGCAAGCGUUAUCCGGAAUUAUUGGGCGUAAAGCGCGCGCAGGUGGUUUCUUAAGUCUGAUGUGAAAGCCCACGGCUCACCCGUGGAGGGUCAUUGGAAACUGGG